UAAUUUGGUGUUUCUUCGAUC
rnacentral:miRNA from 1 species